UCAUCAGGGAUUUGGAGCAGCGUGCUAUCAAUAUGCUGAUGACACCCAAAUCUAUUUCUCCGUGACAUCAUCAUAAGGAAAUGGCAUAGCUCCCCUAAAUGACUGCCUUCAGGCAGUAAUGGGAUGGAUGAGGGAUAAUAAAUUGAAGCUGAAUCUAAACAAGACUGAGGUACUAAUGGUGAGGGGUCAUAAUUUGAGGGAUGUGACAGAACUUACUGUUCUGGAUGGGUGUGUGGAAAUGUUGUUGUAAUAUGUCCAACCAGUAGGUGUCACUAGCAUUUGCUAGUAGUGAUCUUAGUUGGAGGCAGAGCCCCUUCCUUCUUCCUGCCUGUGUGCCUUUGUUGAACUUGUCUCUUCCCGUUACACAGUAGUCUUAGCCUAUAAUGGCUACCUUCCUGUGAGCAAUCAUGACAUGGUGUCAAAAGUCUGAGUUUGAAUCCACAAACCUUUGAAAUGGCUCACUUUUCUGCACCAGAAGCUUUCAGCUUGGCCAGAAUGGAAAAAAAGAUUUGCUUGCGUCAGACUAGCAACACAGCUGCACAAAGAAGAAGGCAUUGUGAUUACAGAGAAGCAUGCAGAAGACCUGGCUCGAGAAAGUAGUGACAUCACAUCAGCAUCUGAUGUUAGACACAGGAAAUGGGGCACAUAACCCAAGUUGUGCAUAGAUACUCCUGGCAACAGCAACUACCUGGUUAUGCAAGAGCAAAGCUGGAUCCAGGAACACCUUCAAGCUGCAAACCUGAUCAU